GCUGACAGAAGAGAGUGAGCACACAGCGGCAGGCUGCGUCUGAUAAAGAGGACGGAUGGAUGCGAAGAGAGAGAGAUAGACGCAGCUGCUGUUGCGUGCUCACCCUCUCUCUGUCAGC
rnacentral:pre_miRNA from 1 species